rnacentral:rRNA from 1 species
UACGGAGGAUGCGAGCGUUAUCCGGAUUUAUUGGGUUUAAAGGGUGCGUAGGCGGAUCGUUAAGUCAGUGGUCAAAUUGAGGGGCUCAACCCCUUCCCGCCAUUGAAACUGGCGAUCUUGAGUGGAAGAGAAGUAUGCGGAAUGCGUGGUGUAGCGGUGAAAUGCAUAGAUAUCACGCAGAACCCCGAUUGCAAAGGCAGCAUGCCGGCUUCCUACUGACGCUGAAGCACGAAAGCGUGGGGAGCGAACAGG